rfam:Triticum aestivum genome assembly, contig: Triticum_aestivum_CS42_TGACv1_scaffold_159172_2DL
GCUCAGUUGGUAGAGUACAAAGCUCUUAACCUUGUGGACGUGGGUUCGAGCCCCAU